rnacentral:lncRNA from 1 species
UAAAUCACAAUGUUCUCUCUCAGCACAACACUGUGUGUUUUGGAGAGAAAAUCCAUUGUCUGGCUGAAGCCCUGGACUGUUGAUUCAGGAAACAGCCAGCUCCUUCCCUUCCAGCCUCCGGCACCCUGAGAACUGGGUGUGAGUGCUGAUUUCUCCACCUGUCUUAUUUCUUAAUAUCUGCAACCAGCUCAGAGCCAGGGAUAAGUCAAGACUCCACCAGCCCAUGUAUGGCUGCCCGGCUGCCCCCAGCCUUGCCCUCAGUUCUUCCCCGAGGGCAUGUCCUGUUGAGAGCCGGUUUCACCUGUGCAGUGUGGCCUGAUGGCCCAGCACCCAGGAGCUCUGCGCACCCUGCCGCCAUGGGCCAUCCGUCCCCAGACCUCUUCCCACAGGGUCACUGUGGUCCACCGUCCUGCCCUCGGGGAAUCUCAGCCUCCCUCUCACAGGUGCACACAUGGGGAGCAGCCAAGGAUUUCUGCAGAAAAAUUCACUCCAGAGGUCAGCAGCUAGAAGCACAAAUGGAGAGUGAGUGAGCACGAGCGCCUCGUGGACUCAGCCCUCCCAGGCCCAGAACCAAGCGCCCAUGGACACCCCUACACGGGCAGCAAGGGCUGGAACCGGCAGCCUGGUGGACAUCCGCCCUGCAGGGCUCUCCCUCGCAGAGACUGCAGAAGAGGGUGUGCAGUGCUCAGCGCGGAAGGAUGUUCUCCCUGCUUUUAAGGAGCCGUGACUAUUUUGCUCAGCGUCCCUGGCGUGCCUUUCUCUGUACAAAAAGGAGACUUAGAGGCUUCCCCAUCCCAUUACCACAGCUGGGCGGCUUCUUGCAUGAGGGCACCUUGCUGAACUAAGUCACCCCAAGCUACCCUAGGCUCCCUGUGCACUGAGAUGCUGAGUCCUGAGGUGCCUUCCAGCACCAGUGAAUGGGACUAAAGUCUUCUGCAGUGUCGCGACCGUUCUGAAGUGAGUAUUCUGUGGUCAUUUGUUACCCUCUGUGAAGCCCAGGAAGCAGGGAUUCAGGGCUGACCAGGGACCACUUUGUUCUCUGCCCAUGCAUGGAAGGUCUGCACUUGGGCCCCAAAGCCUGAGUAAAGUUUCACCGUGAACUUCUUCCAGCAGGAUAAACAGUAGGGUUCAGUACUGAGGGUCUCCAGUUUAAACCCUGAUUCCACUACAAAAUAAAUGCUAGACUGGGCCACAUAUUUAAGCUGUGUUUUCCUUAUGCUUAAAAUGGCAGUAAGAUUCCUUCCAGAGGCCAUGCAGGGAGAUAAUGCCCACAGAACGCUCAGAGUGGGGCUUGGCAGAGACAGGGCUAGACAGGGGCUGUUAUUUAGUGCUGGCAUCUUUUAUUGGUGGCGAUGUUAUUUUAUUUUCUAUGAUUAUGUAAUUUCCUCCUUAUAAUCUCACCCUUGUUGCUUAUCUUAAGAGUGAUGUUUCAGGAGCAACAGCAUCAAUGUAGUGUUUGAUAUUCUGGACAAUCUAACACAAGCAAUUUCUAAUUCAUAAUCCACUAUUUGUAUUUGUUGAUUAUUUGUUUAUAAUAAAGAAAGCAAUGCUUUGUCAGUUUUCCACAAUCUGCCACCAACCUCAGAUAUGCUUUCAUGAAGCUCAUCUUCAAUUAAGGCCCGUGUGCUUUAUUUUUGUGAAAAAUGGAGAUGUGAAGACAUUCUGUGCUCUGCUAGGCUGUGUCCUGAGAACCCCCCUUUUAAAAAGGUUCUCAGUAUUGUAGGUGUCACUUUUUUCCAUUAUAAAUCACAAAAUGUAGUAGCCAGUUAACAAGACACAGGUGUUGCUCCCCUGAAAGUGCCUGCAGAAUGGUGCCGAGGUCCUCUCCUCACCCAUAGCUCUUGGCAUGAUUUAUUCCUGCUGCACGCCUUCCGGGAGGUCCACCAGGCUCACGUCUGUGUCUGUGGAGGUGUGUGUGAACAUGUGCACGUGAGGGUACAUCCAGUCUUCUACCAGCUAAUACGUCAGAGACCACAUAAUGUUAGGCUGGAAGAGACCCUAAAGGUUAUAUAAACCAAUUCCCUUAUUUUAGAGCUGAGAAAUUUCAGGUGCAAAGAAGGGAGAGGCUAUAACAUGGUGGCACUAGAAUAAGACUGCCGGGUUUGAAUCCUGGUGCAACUACUUAUUACCUGUGUGAUCUUGGGAAAGUGACUUAACCUUUCUGGGUCACAGUUUGGAUACCUAUAAACGGCAGAUAUUAACAGUCUCUAUUUGUGUGGAUAUUUUAACAAUAAAAUUAAAUCAUUCACGUAAAGAACUUAAAAGACUCUCAGAUAGGUUGUGGUGAGCUAUGAUUGUACCACUGCACCCCAGCCUCCUGUAGCCUGGGCAAAGGAGCAAGAUUGUCUCUAAAAAAUAAAAAAAAUAAAAAUCUCCAAGAUAGGUAUCAGGUCUGCAAAAGUUUGGACCUAAUCAUGAUCCAAAACUAUGGCUUGAUGACUUCCAAAUUUAUUGCUUCCUUUUUUGGAUGAUCAUUUAUAUGGCACAAUAUGUUGUAAAAUGACACAAAAAUUAACAUUAACGAGCAUACCUCUGGGUUGUAGAUGUCUACGUACAGAUGUCCUUGUCCCAAAACCUAUGUGGAUCCCCAACUGCAUAGAUGCCAUUAUAGCAAAUAAUGUUCCCAAUAAAAUGCAGCAAAGUAUAACUAAAAAUUUAAGGAACUCCUUCAGACCCUUAAUGAUUCUAUAAAUAUAGCCCUAAGGUCAUUUGUAAAGCCAAGCAAAUACAUUCCAAUUGAAGCACUCACCGCAAGUUUUCAUCAUUGGUGAUAAAAGUACAUGAAGUAUUCUGUGUCCUAGAAUCAAGCCACCACUAAAUUCAAUCAUCUAUGUAUUCAUUUAUAUAAAAUCUCUAUUUCCUGGUUUUCAGUCCCUAAUGCACAAAGAUUUUAAAGGAGGUGAGGCUGGGCUGAAAGCUUCCCAAGGGUGGGAACCAGGUGUGGCGGCUUAGCUUCUAUUCUCUGGAGCAAUGCUUGGAUCUCCAUAGGCACUUGCAAAUAUUUUGGAAUGAAUGUAGACUGAAUAAAUAAAUGCUUCAGAAACCAAACUUGCAAGCAGUGCCAGCAAAUCAUAGCUCAAAAUAUUUGUUCAUCAGCUGUUGUUCAAAACUUUGAACUUAGCACACCAAAAAUGGUUUAUGUGUCACAACAUGCAAUGUGCCAAAGUGCAGGUUGGUCGAAAGUUGAACACAUAAAACCCAAGGGCUGUCUACAGCAACAGGGCCUGCAAUGGAAUAAAGACCCAGAAGCCAACAGCAGCGAGGCCGGAGACACAGAAAACACAACCAGAGUCUUCAGGGCAGCAACAGGAGAUGCAGCUUUAAGGGUCCAUCAGGCAGGAAGAACGACCCGGAAGAGGCUUGCCUCAGGCCAGACCCCAUGACUUUGGCUGGGUGUAUCCCUACUACAGUGAGAUGUGAACUCUGGAACCUCUCAAGCUACAAGCCAUUCCCCACAGGAUUAUCUGCCUUCACUUUUCUAAUGUAACAACUGCUUUCCAAGGCAGUGUAGCACAGGUGAUUAAGAGUGGAUACUGCUGCAAGAGUGCCUGGAUUUCGAAGCUGGCUCUACUACUUACUGGCUGUGCAAUCUUGCGCAAGCCACUUAACCUGUCUGUGGUUCAGUUCCCUUAGCUAUAAAAAGGAGACAGAAAUAGUACCUACCUCACACGUUGCUAUGAGGAUUAAUUGAAAUAAUAUAAAUAGAAAGCACCAAGAAUAGUGUGGCACAGAGAGUAUUAUGUAAGUGUAUGCUAUAAUUAUUAAUGAUACCUUCUAUUUUCAUAAGUGUUUUUCCCUUUAUUAAGAGUUUUGUAAAGGAAUUAAUCUUGUAUAGUUCAUACCUGUGUUCUUCCAUUGCAUAGAGCAUAGCUUUUAUUUGCUAUAGCAAAUAACAUUUUUGCAAAUAGCAAAGAAAAUUUUGUUGAAUAAAUAAAUGAGUGAAUGAAUUCCUAUAUUACUAGACACGGGCAAAAAUGUUUUAAGGUGCCAGCAUCAUACCAAGAAACACAGAUGUCAGAAGUAGACACAGAGCUUUCU